AUUGAACGCUGGCGGCAGGCCUAACACAUGCAAGUCGAACGGUAGCACAGAGAGCUUGCUCUUGGGUGACGAGUGGCGGACGGGUGAGUAAUGUCUGGGAAACUGCCUGAUGGAGGGGGAUAACUACUGGAAACGGUAGCUAAUACCGCAUAACGUCGCAAGACCAAAGAGGGGGACCUUCGGGCCUCUUGCCAUCAGAUGUGCCAGAUGGGAUUAGCUAGUAGGUGGGGUAACGGCUCACCUAGGCGACGAUCCCUAGCUGGUCUGAGAGGAUGACCAGCCACACUGGAACUGAGACACGGUCCAGACUCCUACGGGAGGCAGCAGUGGGAAUAUUGCACAAUGGGCGCAAGCCUGAUGCAGCCAUGCCGCGUGUAUGAAGAAGGCC
rnacentral:rRNA from 1 species